rnacentral:rRNA from 1 species
GACGAACGCUGGCGGCGUGCUUAACACAUGCAAGUCGAACGGAAAGGCCCUGCUUGCAGGGUACUCGAGUGGCGAACGGGUGAGUAACACGUGGGUUAUCUGCCCUGCACUUCGGGAUAAGCCUGGGAAACUGGGUCUAAUACCGGAUAGGAGCCAUUUUUAGUGUGAUGGUUGGAAAGUUUUUUCGGUGUAGGAUGAGCUCGCGGCCUAUCAGCUUGUUGGUGGGGUAAUGGCCUACCAAGGCGGCGACGGGUAGCCGGCCUGAGAGGGUGGACAGCCACAUUGGGACUGAGAUACGGCCCAGACUCCUACGGGAGGCAGCAGUGGGGAAUAUUGCACAAUGGGCGCAAGCCUGAUGCAGCGACGCCGCGUGGGGGAUGACGGCCUUCGGGUUGUAAACUCCUUUCGCUAGGGACGAAGCUUUUUGUGACGGUACCUAGAUAAGAAGCACCGGCUAACUACGUA